rnacentral:rRNA from 1 species
UACAGAGGUGGCAAGCGUUGUUCGGAAUUACUGGGCGUAAAGGGCGCGUAGGCGGCCUUCUAAGUCAGACGUGAAAUCCCCCGGCUUAACCUGGGAACUGCGUCUGAUACUGGGAGGCUUGAGUAUGGGAGAGGGAUGUAGAAUUCCAGGUGUAGCGGUGAAAUGCGUAGAUAUCUGGAGGAAUACCGGUGGCGAAGGCGGCAUCCUGGACCAUUACUGACGCUGAGGCGCGAAAGCCAGGGGAGCGAACGGG